rnacentral:siRNA from 1 species
CCUAUUUAGGCGGGCCUUAUCUA